rnacentral:rRNA from 2 species
AUCUGGGCGGCGGAAUUCAGGAUGGCCGACGUGCUUUCGCGGUGCGUCGGUCGUUUGAUAUUUCCGUCGCCAACAAACCGCAGACGUCGCGACCUGUUCGCGGUCGGUCCCUGCUCGGAGGAGCCACGUUCGAGCUCGUUGUGUGCGCGUUUCGGCGCGUCACACGGCGAAGGCGUGGAUCUCUGGCUGGCCGUCGGACAGUAUGCUUAGCGGUGUCCGGUGUCGUCGUUUCGUACGCGCGGCAUCGGUACCGGUCAGCGACGAAUUCUUCGGGCCUCUUUCCGACCCGUCUUGAAACACGGACCAAGGAGUCUAACAUGCGCGCGAGUCGCGGGGUAUCGAGCGUACUUCGGUGCGUUCGUUAUGUUGCGAAACCCGUACAUGUCGAAGGCGUAAUGAAAGUGAAUGGGGAAGAUGGUGUUCCGAGUACACGUUCCGCGAUCGUCGGUAUCGCGGCCGGACACCCGCAUUCCCGGGGCGUCUCAACGGCCCGUCGCUGAUGCGGACAGUCGUCUUUCGGGGUGGCUGUCGGUCGGCGACGAACCGA